rnacentral:sRNA from 1 species
UUUUUGAUAAGCUCGUAGCUGCCCAUAUAGCAUCUUCGGGAGCUGCGUUGGCUGCCGUAUAUGACUGCUAUCCCCUUUUCCGAGGGGAAUUUAAUGCAUUGGUGGUAGGUUGAUGGGACGGCUUUCAUGGCGUGUAGCCAUGGUCUUCCCAGUAUUGCGUUGAAAGGAGCUUUCUUGUCGACUACAAGAAAACCCGGUAAGUGGCGUUUUUCUGCCUUGCAGCUCGGAAUCGAGGUGCCCCAUUUUUUUGAAGGCGUCGUAAAAGAGUACGUCAACUGAGCUGCCUGUGUCGAUCAUUAUACGAGAGAGUUUGUAGUUGCCUACAUCGAUUCGAAUAACAAUAGCGUCAUCGUGAGGUUUAUCGAGGUCGGUGGUUUCGCUUUCCCAUAAUGUGAUCUUGUGGUCAGGUCCCAUCAUCAGGCUCUUGCCUUUUGUGUAGGAAUCUGCCUUCCUCUGAUGAGUUUUGAUCGAAUUGAUUGAGUCGUUGCAGAGCUGAGACCCUCCCAUGAUGAAAUCGAUGCGUUUCGGGGAGAGGUGCUCAGUUGCGCUUCUGCAGAAUUUUGAGAGGCGUAAUGGAAACCUCAUGUUUUUCUUAUGCGGGGCGGAGGGAGGUGUGGUGACUGACCUUCCUGUCUUGCCACCUAGAUCGAGUUCCGUAAAGACUAGGUCUAUGCGUUCUCUCCUAGCGGGUGGGGGAGAGUCACCUCCCUCCAGUGUUCGUUCCCGUUUCUUUUGUUUGGGAGUUUGCUCCUCCUCCUGUUCGUCGGGAGGAGGGGUUUCAACUUUAGGGUUUGAACCUUUUUUAGUUUUGCCCCCAGCUGCGAUUAAUUUUUUUACGGCGCGACACUCCUCGGUGGAAUGUCCUCUUUUGUUGUGGUACUUGCAAUAUUUUCCGAGGUCAAGUUCUGGACUCUCGUCCUCAGCUGCCUCUUCUAUUGCGAAUAAGGUAUGCUGCCCUUGCGUUUGGUUUUCCUUUUUGAAGGGGGUUUUAAUUGCAAGAGGAGCAUUUUGCGUUUUAGAUUCUUUGAACUUUAAGGCCAGCACAGCGAGCUCCUCUUCGCCUUUGGCGAAGUGGAGAGCUUUGUGAAGGGCAUCGUCUAAAGAGAUUGGUUGCCUAACAGUGAGUUCCUCACGGAAUCUAGAGGAAAACCACAGACCGUUACGAAGGGCUGCUAUGGCUACCUCCUCGUUUAGGUUCGCAAUCUUCGAUUUAAUUGCUUUGAAUUUUUCAACGUAAGAUCGAUGGGAUUCGUUUUGAAGUAGAGUGAGACUCCAGAGAUCGGCUUCAGACGUCCUUUGUUCGAUAAGUACAGAAUCCUGUUUUAAGAAAGCGACCUGCCAGUUGUUAGGAGGUGUGACGUCUAUCGAGGCGAAGUCUAGACGAGUCUUUGGAGUAGGAUCGGUCGGGGAGACGGUACCUGUCAAAUCUAUGGGAACUGGGCAGGAAUCCUAGUUUCGCGGGGUGGGAACUUCCUUACCCGCGGUAUCGCGCUCUACCUCAUGUCCCAAGCGAGUGGAGUCGCAUCUUUGCUGACCCACAAUUGCGGCGAGGUUGCGAUGCGCAAUUUCUUGGUUUUUGGUUAAGUUGAUCAAGUUCAUGAUCAUUGCGCGGAGCUCAGCCAAUUCGCUGGCAGGUCGCGGAGGGACCUGAUUAGACGGGUUGACCGGGUUAUCUCCAUUUGGAGGUUGUAUCGUGACGUUUUGUUCUCCGCCCCUUGUUUGCGGAGGGGGAGUGAUUUGGUCAGAUCCAGAAGAAUUCGAGUUUUGGGAGAUGUCCUCCGCAUCAGCGUUAUGGACAGCAUCAACCCUGGUUCGGAGAGGGAGAUCCGUUGGGAGGUGCCCGUCCGUAACGUCAUCGUUUGGGAUCUGAACUGGUAAGCCAGAUCCCGAUGAAUUGGAUGAAUUGGGAUCCAUGAUCGUUGGUCACAAUUGAUGUGUUAGUUACGGUGUUGGAAUGAUCUAUUUCUGUCCCCACAGACGGCGCCAAAUGUGGGUUCUGAAAUCCACACUAGAGAUUUGUAAUUGAGAUUAUGAGAAAGGAGGGCUAGAUCUUCACAGAAACCUUGAGAGUUAUAUUGCUAAGAACGAAUGGACUUUUUGUAUUGAUAAUGUGAAAGGAGAUUACAAGUGUAAAAGUAUGUGUGUGAAUAUAAGCAGAAUUGAAUGUGUCUUCCAAGUUGUCCUUGCUCCCUUAUAUAGGUCUACGCACGUGGUAGCUCCGUCCGGGAUCUGCGGAGAUCGUCCUGGAUAUUCGGCAGGUCAGUUCCGAGAUAUCAGGUCCGCUCCGCGAAUAUCUCCUCAUCAGUUCCUAGGUUGUUAUUCGCUUAUCUCCCUUCAUCAGGUGAUUGGGUUUAUCUGGCCCAAGUACCCAUUCGCGUAUGUGGGCUCAUUAGUUGCGUAGGUCCUCUACUUGGUGGGCUUGGUGGGCUUUUGUGGGCUGGCUUGCUAUUUUCGCAGGUGGAUUCCUGGAGGGAAAUCCAGCUCCAACAGACACCAAUACUAAGAUCAAGCCAAAGAUAAUACAUUUCAAGCAGUUGAACCGGAAUGAAAUUUUCAAACU